ACGCUCUGGAGAAUCCCGGGGAUCCGGGUGCCGAAGGUGCAAGGCCGUGUGAGCGGCUAAUCUCUCAGGCAAAAGGACAGAGGCU
rnacentral:ncRNA from 1 species